AUAAUCAUGUUGACGGGAAAGAGUAUUUCGAUGUUCUGCCUUAAAGCGAGUUUCAGUAGGUGAAAGGAAACAAGCAGACGUCUUAAGAAAAUCCUCCCCGAGUGAUGAACCGAAAUUUAAGUAAGUUUAUUGGCUGCCACCAUUAUCCCGCUAGCGUAUCGCAAUUAUUUUUAUUGCUGCACGUGAAGAGGUAGUACCAGUAAUGGUGCUAUGAAUAGAGGUGGUAACACGCAAAUAAGCGUCCUUCAA
rnacentral:ncRNA from 1 species